UUUUAUAGAGAAUACUAAGCCAGGGCAGGAUUGUCAGUAACAGAAAAUGACUUGUAGGUGUCUCUUUCAUGCUGCAUGUUAUAGGUUUAGGGAUAUGAGAGAGUUGCGUUUCAGAUCCACUCUCUUCAAUUUCAUUAUGCAAAGUGUGACUGCAGCAAGCCUUUACAAAGAACGGACAAAACAAGGCCAUGGUAAAUAUCUAAGUGCAUAGUGUUAAAAAUGACUGGGAAAUAGUACCUUUUAUGGCCACGUUCAAAAUUAUGGCCAGCUAUCUCCAUGGGUAAGAGAUGUAGCAGAACUGAAUAUGGCAUUGGGCAGAACCCAUCAUGAUAGUGUUAUCUGUGGUUUUCCAUAUGAAAAAGUAAGCCCGAGAUACUGGGGCAGAUUUGCUAAUAAUGUUGUGCUUUGCACAGUUUAAAUAGGAUAUCCUGGAAAAGAUCAUGAUGACUUAUCCUCGAGAUAGGACAUCAUUAUCACAUCAGCGGGGGUCCAAGUCCCAGCAUCCCCGCCGAUCAGCUGUUUCAGGGAACCGAUGCACUCGCUGAAGCUAUGGUGAGCGAUGCAAGGCUCCUGUCAGCUUUCCAAGGACAGCGCCGUUCAUUGUAUAGUGGUUGUGCUUGGUAUUGCAUCUCGGCCCCAUUCACUUCAAUGGGGACUGAGCUGCAACUAGGCCAUGUGACCGAUGUACAGUGCUAGGAAGAGUCUGCGUCGCUCAAGGCCUCUUCGAACAACUGACUGGUGGGGGUCCCGAGUGUUUUACCCCCGCAGAUCUGAUACUGACGAUUUAUGCCUCAUUCACACGUCAGUGAUUGUGAGCCAAAAGCAUCAUCUUGGGUUCUGUGCAUGAGCUAUAUACUGUAUUUAGUACCAUGGAUGGUCUGAUCCUCUCCUGUGAGAUCAGGAAAGCCUUUUGGGAAUACUUUCCCGAGUUUGCAAGAUUUAAGGUUCAUAUGUAGAAGUGUAUUACAGCCUUAGAGUGGAUUCACACGUGGUGUAAUUUUACACUAUAGAAACAUUUGGCGCGCACACAAUGUUAUCUCCAUAUGGGCUGUUCUAAAUAUGGAACAGAUACUCCCUCCUAUUGCUUUGUGGU